AAAUCCUUUACCAAGAGGAUUGUCAAGCAUUGGAGCAGGCUGCCUGGGGAAGUGUCAGAGUCACUAUCACAGGAGGUCUUUAGAAGAUGUAUAGCUGUAGCAUUUGGGGACAUGAUUUAGUGGUGGAUUUGGCAGUGCUGGAUUAA